rnacentral:tRNA from 1 species
GCAUCCGUAGCUCAGUAGGAUAGAGCGUCCCCCUCCUAAGGGGAAGGCCGGGGGUUCGAAUCCCUUCGAGUGCA